CACAAGGGCAACACACUAAAAAGGAAAGAACCACGACAACAGGCACUGGUGCAGCAGCAAGUCAACAAGCCCAAAAUACUUCUGCACCCUGGGUUAGAUCAAGAAACAAAGUUGUACUCAAGGUACUGCUGAUGCUGACUGAGUUUGAACAAACCCUUGCCACAGGGAUAAGAAACACAUCGAGGUAGGGACGCGCUGCUGGCUCUGCUGCCUGCCAUGGAUGAGGCAGAUCCCAGGGAAGACAACCAAUUAAAGGUUGCAACUGAUGCUCCAUCGCUGAAAACUUAUAAAUCAGAGUUGUGUCAACAAAGUCAUCAAAGGUGUCUGAAGGUAAGUCACAUGUGUUGGACUUCAAGGAAGCUUUGGGGAAUGCCUUGAGUGAUGUUACACAGGCCAUUAGCUUGCAAAGGUCCCUUCGAUUUGUAAAAUCCUAGUAAUUGUUCUACCUCAUCAGAGUUGCAUAGGCCACUUUUCCUUUUUUUUUCCCUAUCUGAACAUAUCAUCCUGUAUCAGAGUGCAAUGUUUCAAGACCUCUUUCACCAUCAGCCAAAAGAACAGUGGUGCCAAAUAAAAAAGGCAGGGAACUGUCUUUCUAGAAACAGCAACUUGCAAGUGAAAGAAUGUGAUACAAAUCCCUGGAGGUGCUAAAUAUUUUUAUUGAAUGGUUGCGAAACAGAAUAAAUUAGAGGGCAAAAUGUAAGCUCUUCUUGGAACAAGUAGCUGGUCUAACCCUCCCGAUGCUAGGGUACUCUCUUUGCCUUGGCCUAAGAGUUAAAUAGUCAUUACAUUUCCCUACAGGCUACCUUUCCAAGGAAAACACAUUCUCUGUGCGCUGCAGUCUUUGACAAUAGGAUUAAGUAUUACUGGCAGACAAUACCACUUAAAACGUUAGCUGCAUCAACCUCCAUGAUGACUGAAAGAGCUAUUAGUCUGCAGUGCCUCUUUUAACAGGAGGCCAAAAAACCCCAUCCUUUAUGACCCUUGAUAGGGGGAAAGAAAUACCUGGGAGGCAAUAUACCUCAUCUAGACAGAAAAUGUACAUGAAAAAUGGUUACAACAAGAUUAUUUACAUUCUUUAGUCAUUAGGGAUAAAGUGGAUGCUUACUGACCCAUCUUUCUAAACAACAAAUUGAAAAUCCCCCGUGAUAAAAUCGCUCUGCUUCGUGAUUUCCAGUUCUGUCAGACGCUUCAGAAAAAAACGGCGUUCACUUAGCAUAUCUAUCUACUCAGUAACUGAUUUGUGGUCUUUGCAAUUUAGAUACUCAGCCUCUCUUUCAACUCCACACGUCCAUUACAUUUGCUACAAAUCGCAUUACGCGAGCGUGUUCUGGAGAGCAGAACUGCAGCCUGGAGGGCCGGGAAGUGCGGGCAGGUCGUGCCUCUCCACCCCAAUGGUUCAAAAGAACAUGGAACUGCCCAGCCUGGGGUUUGCUGCUGGGGCAGAGGCUCUGCAGAGGCUGUGAAAUGUACAUUAUAUACAUGUCUUAGGUGCACGGAGCGCUGUUCUGCCACAGCGCUUCAGGAAAGGAGGUCAAAUUGUUUUGGAAAGAAUGUUACAGCAAAAAAAAAAAAGAAUAUAAAAUGCCUCUGUUUUGAUGCAGAAGGAUAAGAACAGCAAAGAUUUGGGUACUUGCACAGAAAGAACCUAUGAACUCACCCAGCUCUAGACUGAGCCUAUCUUACACUGUUUACUCUGAAUGCCACAGAAAGCACACCCUCUGUCACGUGCCAUAUUCCAGCAGGGCCUCUGGCUAAAAAAACCAAAUUCUUUCCCUUCUUCUUCCCUUUACCCUUAACACAAACACGAUGCUUGUUUCUGAGAGCAAACACCUCAGAAAGACAAAGCCAUAAAUCAAAUCUGUACAGUUCUUCUGACCGAUGCUUAUGCUAUUAUGUCAUCCUACCCAGAAACAGCAUAAUUGUAGAUAAUGUGAAGCAGAUCAACUUCUGUAAUCUUCCAUAAGGAAAAAAAAAAAAAAGGAAAGGAAGAGGUUACUGUCUUCUGAAUCUAUCCUGAAGAAUUUAGCUUUCUGUAACACAGAAGAACAAAACCAGUCUAUCUGCUGCCGACAUUUAUGCAGAGGUCACUCAGGAUGUGUGAUGGCCAAAGCACACGUGGUACCUGGUACCAGCUGAUCAACCUAUGGGAAUGAAUACUGGGAAAAAUACCAGUGCCAAGGACGGGGGGAGAGAAGAGGGUCAUUAGUGCACGGUGCUUGAAACGUCAAGAUGCAAUGAGCGGGACAGAGCUGCUGAUGAGAACACUCGGGGGAUGCAGCAUGAGGAUCUCUGGACUGAGCAAAGUGUCGUGGUCAGAGAAGGAUAAUAAAAAGACUGGAACACACACCAUCUGGUACAACAGAAGGGAGGAUGGGAAACAUCAACAGGGAGUUAUAUUUGCUAGGGAAAGCCAGACGGUGAAAGCAUUGAUUAAGAUUAUUUUGUCGAUUAGGUGGUACACUCUGAUUUAUGUGCUGGGGGAAGAGGAGCAUUUGCCAUGCAAAGGUUGUGCUGCUGAAGUGGGAUCAGACCCAGGGAUGUGGGAGGCUUUCGUAGUUUUCCCUGGGGAAGGGUCACGUGGAAGCAGGGCUCACUUGUGGAUUUGGAAGGUUGCACAUUCCAGCGUGAUAAAAACGAGAUGUGAAGAUACGGCCUAAAGCAGGCAAGUGGCACAUGGAGGGAGACCAAAGCAGUGGGGAAAAGAGCUGCAACAAGAGAAAAUUAUUUGGAAAAUAACUGCUUGAGACAAAUAUGUAUAUAUUUAUAUCACCACAUCUAUAUUCAUACCCAUCCAAGGGCAAAUCAACAAGCAAUGUAAAGCUCUUGAGCUACAUUGAAAUCAAAUUAUACUAUUUUGUUUGCCCAGAGAGCUGGGCUGCUCCUGGGACAGAAAGAUUAGGCUCAGAUUAGAGUCACUCCCAGCUUCUGAGGUCCUCAAUGACAAGGCACAGCAGGGGCAGUGCAAAGGGUAUGCAAUGAUACAGCUUCUCAGAUAAAUUUAGUACCCACCUCACUGAAAGGUGAGGAUAGGAAACCAAGAAACAAGCCAAAGGUUUAAGGGAGAGGCUUGCACAGCACAGUAUUAUUUGCAUCAGUCAAUCAGUGGGUAAAAUGGGAACAAAGUGACAUCAGCAGCAAUGCACAGUCCAUGAAUCAGCAGAGGGGAAAGAGCAGUAGGUGGGCAGCACCAAAAACAAAAAACCAGGCAGGUUGCCUGAAAUAAGUCCCUGAAAAAUGUUUUUUUUUUUAUGACACUGACUGUAGAGGGAUGAGCAAGUACAGCAGGUUUUGUGAAACCCCAGUGGCACAGCACUGCUCAUUUCCCUCACACUGAAACUGCAGAAAAAAAUUCCUGAAACCUCUGAAUGCUGGGAAGCCCUGGAGAAAAAGCAAACAAGCCUUUAGUUGUUGUUUAGGUAAAAAGGAUUAAAAAAAAAGAGACCACAACAGUUUUCAUGCUAAGCUCAGAGGGUUUUCUCCCCCCUCAGGACAUAGGAAGUAUUUUAUACUCCAGCAGAAACACCAUUUAAGGAAAAUCCUGUUUUCCUGCAGGUGAAGUGUCACCAAGUGAAAAAUGGAAAAUUCCCAUGGAUUUAUCCCCGAGUAAACACACACACAUUCUUUCACAGCUCACAAAUCUCAUCAGCAAGUGUUGACCAACCUCCAGUUACUCCAGAUAAGCUGUGUACAGGUUAAGCUAGACACAGGUAGGUUAAACAGAGUGCAAGAGGGAGGCAGAUCCAGUAGCACAGCAGCAUGGACAGGUAUAAAUUCACUUCCUGUUGCCUUUGAACUAUCUCAAUGGGAACAGCCCUAAAUAUUACAAGUAUUACAUUUCCCUAUUCAAUAAAGUUGUGCUGAAUAGAAUUAUCACCUUGAAAUUACAGGGUAAAACUCCCUAUACCAAAACAGAUUAAAGACAAAUUAGACUGUGGGCCAGGUCACUAUGAUUGUUAAUUAGUGAUAAUGGAAAUACAAUUAGCAUAAUGAGUUCCAAUUACUGUAUAUGGAGAAAUAUGAGCAUACUGCUUUCAUAAAUCUUGGUUCCAGGAAAAAUAAAAUGCAUCUGGUUUAACAAAGCAUGCCCUUCUUCUUUGCAAAAAGCUUCCUGGUAAAUAUCUUUUUAUGAAGCUAAACCUUUCUUUUGAUGGGUUGUGAUUUUGGGGGAAAAAAAAAAAAGAAAAAGAAAGCGACAGAAUGGAUUUACCCUAUCUGAUAGCUGAACAGUUUUGUAUUAGCUUGGCUUCUGUUUUAAGCUUCCUAGAAAAUCUUACCAUCUGUUUCUUCAGUCCUGGGUUAAACAAAAAAAAAAAGACAAAAAUCAUAGACCAUUACAUCAAAUGCACUUACUGUCUUUGAAACAUCCGGAGUUUUCCUCUCUUUCCUUUUUCUCCUUCUGAUAAGCUGUGAAAUUGGAAAGCCAAUUAUAUUCUGAUAUUUACACAGUUAGGUAUUGUUUUUCAAAAACCUCAUUGAAAAAACAGUUGAUGAAAGACAACAGUUUUACCAGGAACAACCCCAGCAUGUCCAAUGGUAACUUCAUGAAGAAUUGUCUUAUUUAUUUCCAUAGCAGUUUGCCACCUUUGCGAGGGUGGGCAAAAUCAGGCUGGAUUUAGUGUAUCACUCACGGGUGAGUUUAAAAAGUGGGGAUUUAAAUUAUGAAUUUACAGAUGCUGUGGACUGAAGUGCUAAUGGAAAUAAAGGCUUAAUGAAGCCCCACAGACGUGCAAGCUUGACUCCAUGCCUCUAUUUAACAAGCUGGUGUUAACUAUGCUGUUGGAUAGCCAAUUAUGAAGCUACUCACUGUUUCCAUGUGUUAAAGUGGAUUCUGGGCAAGAAUUCAAGAGCAGGAAAAAUUCCAGCUGCAUACAAGGAUUAGAUGUUAGCAAUACUACAUCUUCUCCCUUCAAAAAAGAUUCUCCAGCCUUCUCAUUACAGGACAAUCAGGCAAAAAGCUGUGUAAGGCCCAAAAGUCAUGGACAGACAAAACUGAUGGGAUGUGAGUUGUCUAGAUGGCCUCGGAGAUAUUGGGGAGCAUUCGUCAAGAAAACUGUAAAAACAUGGAAAUGGGAAAGGAUAGUGGAAGGAGAAAGGGAACUGAUUGAAGACAGCAUCCUUGCUAUCUGCUGAGCUGCAGUCAGAGCAGGCUGCUUGCAUUUCCACUAUGUCAACAGUGUGAUAAUUAGCUGUAGGCGUAGAUGAACUCUCCUCUCUCACUUUGCAGCUACGGGAGAGAACCAGCUCAAGACACACCCACACUGACAGCCUCGUGUGAAAGAACACCAGCACCGUGUAACUUCAGUGUUGUCUCUGUCCCCUCAUGGUUAAUGAGCCGUGUGUUUUGGCACAAAACACAAGGCAGAAGAGAGAGGAGGGAAGGACCUGCCCUGGACACCUGCUGAGAUUGCCACAGCUCUGCAGAGCAUGACAAGAUCCAUGAUAAGAAGCCUUAUCCUGGUGAUGGGAGCACUACCUGAGGAGAGCCUGCUCGCUUCACAGAUUGAGUGUGCUCUGCACAGAUAGCUCUGAGUAAGAUUUGACUUUUUUGAGUUUAGCCCUCUAAAAAUGAACACCAAAUACUUCAUGGUGCUAUGCAUCCUGAGCUUCCCAAGGAUGCCGAUGGCUCACAUGAAUGUUGUCACCGUAGCAUUUCAGUGCUUGCAGGAUGCUAAAGACCUAGAAAAGUACAGGGAUUAAGAGAGUUAGAACUGGCUCACAGCUUAGGGAAGUGGCCUAUGGAAGGAAUAAUGAGUGAACACACACCACUAAAGAUCGUAUCUUGACACAUACGCACAACAAGGCUGAAUUCAAUGUGUACAGGCAAUCAGGAAUCUCACAUUACCUCACUUUGCAACCUUAAAGGGUUGUUGAGUGCUUGGUUAUUUUCACCUGUGAAAUGAAGAUCUCAAACAAGAUCACUCUGAUAGGCGCUGUAUCUAGGCACAGUAAAAGGCAUUCUCAGUGAUAACAAAGCUUACAAGACAAGUGGAUGAGUCAGACCCAGAGAAAGGGAGAGAGAGGGAGAGAGAGAGAGAGCAGCAAGACACAAAAAAUACUUUUCCUAUAAGCAUAGGCAGGUCCCAGCACAUCACCUGAGCACAGGCUUUUCUCACUGACAAGCAAUCCCACUAAGUCAACGAGGAAGGCUUUAUUGGGAGCAUAUAAAUGCAACCUUCCUGACAACGAUAACCCCUUGGUGGAAGGGAAAGGUUCAGAGGGACACCUGACCCUGUGCCAGCUGGAGCUGUCAGGCAGGCACCAGCAGAGCCCGCGCGAACCCAGCGCAGCCCCGCGUUAUCCUGAAUUUACAGCAUCACCCCUCAGAGCGCAGGCGAGUGUUGCCACAAAUGGAUGAUCUCAAUCAGAAAACCAGUCCUGUGGCAAGGGAUGCAUAUGGCCAUCACUCCCAAGAACAGCUGUCAGGCACUGGCCCUGCCCACUUCCCACUGUGUAACGUCCCUGCUUGCUCAGCCAAGCGAAUGACCUUAUAAGCCCACACAGGCCCAAUCUGAUCCAAAAAUUAUCAGCAAAAACUUGUUUUCCUCAAGACCUCGCAGCCUAACGGGGAGAAAUUAUACACUUGGACGGCAGGCGAGCCUAAACAGCUUUUGUUGCAGUUCUUUUGAGUAUGAAAUCUCUCUGCAUUGGAAAUAAAAAAGCUCGUUGGAAAGAUGAGUGGUAGACCCCCACUCUCUCCAUCCAAAGCAUGCUGUUCAAUUUAGCCUGUGCUUCACUGAAUAAAUAACACUCCCAGCCAUGAUGCUCCCCCUCCAAUAUGCUUGAGUAUUGAUAGAUUGCAUCGCUCUACACAAAGUCUGUCUGGAACUUGUGACAUUUGCCCAGUGAAUUGGUAAAUGAACUUGAAAUAUUUGACCCAUGCAGAUGAGAUUACACCUUAUUUAGCCUGAAUGGACAAGAUCCUUUGUUGUACCCAAAAAACCUGACAGAUAAGUCUAACCUUUUCAUCCAGCUCUUCUGGGUAUUUAGCUACGUGCAAAGUGACACUCCUGGAUGAUUAUACUGAAUCUCAAAUCUCUUCUGCAUAUACAUGUAUAACUGUGUACUCUGCAGGAAUCUGUGACACAGGCAAGUUGGCAACUGAAGGACCUUCUCCCAGACUGCCUUCUGAUUUAUGUAGGCCUGUCACAGAGUGACUGAUACAAGUGAAAUAAAUCUGUUGACGACUUAAAAGACAUGAAACUUGACAGACAUUCAAAGUAAGUCAGAUACAGCUAUUUCAUGUUUUAUCUUUUCCUGUGCUGUGUCUCCAAAAUGAGAUUAGCUGACAUGGUCAAGGGGCAGAGUGAGGGAUAAGUGGGCACAAGAUUUGGCCACAGUCUCCUCAGAGAGGUCCCCUACCCCCCACCUCUGAUCCUCUUUUCCAGCAAUACAUUUUUCACUAUGAUCACCAUGCUUUGAUCUCGGUUGACAUUUUAAACUGGGUAGCAUUCUCCAAGACAAUCUUAAGGCUUUAAAAUUACAUUGCUCAAUGCAACAAAUACCUCUUAGCACUUGUCCUGCUUUGAGCUUUUGAGAUGUAUUUUUGUAUCUCAACAGAGCAAUUGUGAUGUUGUUAUCAAGCCUAAAUCUGAGCCCAGACUUUGAUGACUGGGCUCAUCUUACAUAGUUGGUGAAUGUAGAGGGUUUGCUGGAAAAAUAC